rnacentral:lncRNA from 1 species
CACAUUACCUCAAUUUUAGAAUGUCCUUUGAAGAUGGAUUUGACAUCUCUUGAUUUUUUUUUUUUUUUUUGCUUUACUUUUUAUUAAGAAAUUUCAAACAUACACUUUUUAAAAAGAUCUUAUGUCGUGGCCGGUGCGACAAAUCCACCAGGAAACAUGAAGUCUGAAGGUAAUGAGAUGCCUAGCCGUGUACUGUCAAAAAGCCAGAACAGAGGAGCAAACAGAUGUUUAGAUGAAAGAAGAAAAGUUCCAGGAAUCUUCUGACCCCAAUCUAUACCAUCAGGCCACCUGAGCUAACAGAGCUCCCCUGCUAAGGUUUUGUAAUCCCGGGCUUUUGUAAGCAAUACCCCCUUUACAGAAGAGGAAGCUGUAGCUUAAAGGCCUUGCUUAUGGCUGCCCAGUGAGUGAAUAACAGUCAGAAAUAGAACUCAGACCUCAUGAUGUCAGAUUCAAUGUUCUUUCCACUUAACGAUGCCUAAAAAUACAAACAAAUAAAAAACUCCCCAAAGCAACUGAAACCUUAUCCACUUGCCUUAUGCCUCGGAAGCCUGGAGUUUAGUGAACCUGAUUUGUAAUUCUAGCUUUUUAUACACACAACACCUGAAUUUGUAACAGAUGGGUCCAUUUAUGGGUAUUUUGC